GGAAUCUUAGCUCAACGGUCAAGAGCACCCGGCUCAUAACCGGGCGGUUCUGGGUUCGAAUCCCAGAGAUUCCA
rnacentral:tRNA from 1 species